GCGGGUGUGGCGGAACUGGCAGACGCGCCGGGUUUAGGUCCCGGUGGGACGACGUCCCUUGGAGGUUCGACUCCUCUCACCCGCA
rnacentral:tRNA from 2 species